AGCAACCCAUGCCCAUAUUAGGAGAGGAUCAUGUUGGGAAUAAGGAUCUCGGCUGAUUCUUUAGGGUGGGGAAGUGGGAAGGAGGGAAGCGAGCUAAGAGAGGGGGAAGCACUUGGGGUUCUGACAGGAAGAAAGGAGUAGAGGGGGACUCUGAUUUCCGGAGGAAGAAACGAGGAACAACAGAGGGAGGAAGGAAACACAAUAUUUGAAGCCAGGCAGAUUAUCACUUGAAGGGAGUUUCUUCCAGGUAUGGUUACCCUGACAUCUUUAUCUUCUUGCCUCUAUUUGAUACUACAUUGUUUUUCGGUAUAUUUCUGAGUGUUAUUUGAUUGCUUGGUGCCGACGUCAAGAGUUGUUCGUAAAUCUUUCUGAAUAUGUUUAUGUAGAUAUAGGCUCUGUUUUGGGUUUCUUUGGUUUCCCCUUGUACCUGACUAAUCCAGGGAUUUAUUGCUGAAAUCGAUAUCCGAGAAUCAUGUUCUUAUACUCUAGUAAACCCACCUGUUUUUCUUAGCUCAUGGAUGUCUCCUGAAAUGAGGUUCUCUAUGUAAUCACAAUUUGCUUUGUUUUCCCAUGUAUUCUUCCCCUCAAGUUCUAUCUGCUCCUAUCUCUACUUUUUCUCCUUUGUGCCGGCGUUUCGAUCCAAGUUUCCACCUGUCUCACGCGUUGGACUUUAGUUGGAUGUCUUCCAGUCGUCUUUUGCUUUCUGCAGCCUGUUGAAUACCUAAGAGUUGCCUUUGUUUAGCAAUAAAUGUUGUUUCUAUGGGUCAGUGGGUUUUCGGUUCAAGUUGAGACCUACCAUGCGAGAGGAACAGAUAUGUUGAUAGUGAAGAAAGAUUCCGAGGUAAUGCUGAUGUGGUUUUGAGUCUGGUGGCAAUAUAUGGCAUGGUUGCUUUCGAUGGUAAGUGGUCUGAAGGGUCUGGUUCUAUGGGUUUUGGAUGUGACUGACAACCUACUCUAUUUGUAUCGGAUGACCGUUUCCCAUGCAAACUCUCUUUAUGCCCCUCUCUAGCCCCUAGAAAUUACAAGUUCAGAAUCACUGCCAAUGGUCUGCUGCUAUUGCACUUGAUUUGAUCUCAAGUUACCUGAAUGUAAUUGAUCCUAAACGAAAAUUCCAGAAUACCACUAGACCUCUGGGGGUUGUAUGUGGCAACAGAAAAUGCCCUUGUCAAAGGAGCUUGUGGAGUAGGUUUGGGUUUCUCAUGCCAAGAUCUUCUUACAAGGUUUGAAGCUGUGAAUGAACGUAACUUGGCUCAAGAAACAUUCAAGAAGCAGUGAAGAUGUGUAAGGAAGGGACAAUUUUCUAUGUGGUCAACAGUUAUCGAUUCAUAAUGUAAAGGUCUUGAACGAUGAAACCGUACUGGUAAGGAACAAAGUUACAUAAUGCACUGUUCAACGAAGGAGAGCCAAAUGAUGCCGGUAAGUAGGAGUUGAUUUGGAUCGUUGGGGAACCGGUCCAAGUGUUGGUCAAAUUGAUAAAUUCUUGUGGAUUCGGCUUGAUGAUUGAUAGCACUCUAACUUCUGUGAGACACGUGACAAUCCCUGGGCGUACUGUUCGUUGUUUAGGCGUCAUUACUGAAGAUCUUUUCAAGGAUAACUCUUCAAUAAGAGAUUUAAAGCCAAAAAAGCAAAAAAAAAAAAAAGAAAAUCUUCUGCUAGAUGAGAAUGGAAACCUAAAAGUUUCAAACUUUGGAUGAGCGAGUUUGCUGAACUUAAGCACCAAGAUGGUUGGUUUCAGACAACUAAGAGGCACACACCAGGAGCUCCAAGUUCAGAAUCUUCACCAUUGCCAUUUCCCAUGGCCUCUUUCUCCAUUCUUUACCAUUCUUCAUUCAAGCGCCGACUUCUGGAAAGUAACCGGAUCAUAAUAUGUUCCCUUCUGUGCUAAAAUCAUGCACUUUGAUGCAGGACUUGAGUUUCAGUUGUGCGCAGAGAUUUUGUGAUUCCAAGAUGAUCGGUGGAAUUCCUGAACUAUGGAGAUGUUGUCGUAGAUGGCAACCCAGGUUUUCCAGCCUGGUUAUAGACUGUUAAAUAUGAAGCACAGUUAAAAUCUGAUCCCGAAUGAGGGCCAGUAACACGAUGGCAAAGCUGAUGGCAAUCCGGCAUCGACUCAUUCCACGACACAAGUAUCCCUCAUCGAGAAGGUCCUCCCCAUGUGCAUGUGAUCCAUGCAUGCAUAGUUACCCAAAGCCUUUGCAAAACAUUCCCGCAAAAUCCUUCCUUCAUCAAAUCCAAAUCCCAAGCCAAACAACCCCGUGCCUAAAACCUCAGGACAAGCCGACCAUAUCUCUAACCUUCAUACAACCAAAAUCAUCACCCCUCACGUCCCAUCUUGAAACUGUAUAAUACCUGGAAAGAAUCCUGUCCUAAUUGGUGGUCCCCGAUCAGAAAAGCUCUCGGAAAAGUUUGUUCUAUUCUAGAUUAUCAGAAGCUUUCUUCUUGAACCUCGGGUUAACUGAUCUCUGAAUCAUUGCUGAUGAUGUCAAGUGUUCUGAUGAAGCUGAUGCCAUAAAUCCCACUCUUGAUAUUUUGAAUUGGGAUAUCCUUCACCUGACUGAACUCUUGUCAUACUCCGAUUCAGAGUUUGCUUACAGCAGCAAGAAGUCCAAGUCAAAUUCUAAAGUGGUGCCUCAGGAGCCGUAGCGGGGGUCUGAACCUUAAGAAUUGAAAAUGAAAAAGAUGAGAGCAAGGGAAAUGAAAAUAAAGAAGAUGAAUGAGGAGCUUUCUAGCUAAAAGCUUGUUGUGGGAGAUGUGUUUAGAGUGUUGAAAAAUUACAUAGAGAACCAGUUUGCUUGAAGUUACUCUACGUAAUGAUUGGUGGUCAAUAUGUGAGAAUAACAGGUUUGUCCUUCUCAAGAGAAUUUCUUGUGUCCAAAAAUGAUGAGUUCAUCUAUCAUUCUACAUGGGUGAGAGAUUAAGACCUGACCCUAUCUUGGCUUCUCUCACUUCUUUGGAGAAAGGUGCAGGUGAAAUGAGACCUGAUCAUCUCUCUGGAAGAAAAACUAAGGGGAAAAAAAAAAACAACUCUACAAUCUUCCUGUGUCGGUGUAAGUCUCUGAACCCGACCAAAGAUCCAAAAUCAUGGACGAAAAAUUGCUGGAAUUGCAGAGACAGUUGAAGUUUGCACAGCAAGUGACAUUGAGUAUUAGUUUAUCUGAACAAACGGUCUAGAAACUCCAUGAGCUUCGAAUCAUUAUUGACUUCGACCUUUUCCGCACCGUCUUUGGAAAAGAAUACUAUCACUUUUGAGAAAUUAAGGCAUGAAAUGGCAGCGAAAAUCAUGAAAUUAGGACGUGUUUCUUUGAUUGAUUUUGCAAACAUUACUAGAGUUGAUUUCUAUCAUGUUGAAAAGCAAGUGCAAAGUACGUAUGGUCUCUGAUGAUCCGGGUCUUGCAUUAGUUUGAGGAAAAAUAGUAUUAGACUCAUAUUGGGAUAAUGUAGCAGACGAAAUUAGUGAGAGGUUUCAAGAACGUAGUCAAAUUGCUUUGGCAGAGCUUGCUGCAUAGUUACAUGUCGGCUCAGGAUUAUUCACGUGCGCGUAUGGGGAAACUCCAUCUCAUUUCAGCUUCACUCUUCGAGUCCCAUGAUCUGGUCAAGUUUAUCAUCAUGUAGCAAUGGAAUUCAUGUUCAGUUGCCCAUGCAAAUAUCUGGACUUCCUAGACUUUCACCCUAUCAUCUAUAUAUAGUUCCAUCUAUCCAACAACCUUUUCCAUGUGCAUGCAUUUUUAUUCUGCAUGGCCACUGCCACUUGUAGUGCCAACGAAAGCUUUGAUGCCAACAAUGUUAGUUCAAGAACACAAAGAUAAAACAAUCACACAUACGGUACACGAGGUUUUAACGUGGUUCGGCCAACCAUGCCUACGUCCACGGAUGAGAGAGAAUAAUUCCACUAUACAAUAGAGAAUAUUACAGAGGAUAAAACCAGAUACAACUAUUGGGUUCCCGAAACAUCCCAUGUUUCCCCACUCCUUGUAUCCAUACCUUACUACGAGUCCUCUCGCUCCACCAGGUACCUCCCGUUCUUCCUCACAUCUCUAUCCACCUCGUAUAGUCUCUAUAGGCCCAUCUCCAUCUCAUAACUUUUUCCCCUCAUGACCUAGAAUAUUUAUAGAGAUAUUUCCAACAACCUUCCUUAUUCUAUAAGGAAAUCUAAUAUUACAAUAAUAUAUCAACCUAGAAAUAUUCUAUAUAAUAUUCUUUACAAAAAAGGAAUCUAUACUAAUUAGGAAUUUGGGACACUUCCUAACAAUCUCCACCUUGGACCAAAUUACAUGAAGUUAAUCUUCAAUCUCUCCAUGACACAAACCUUUUUGUAUCAUAUCACCACGAAAGAGCAAUCGACUCCACCUUCAAUGAAAAUUCCUUUUGUUUUCAUCUUGUGUGUUUUGUGAUCUUUUACUCUUCCAGAAAUCUUCAACCCAAGCUCUGAUACCAAUUGUAGUGCCAACGAAAGCUUUGAUGCCAACAAUGUUAGUUCAAGAACACAAAGAUAAAACAAUCACACAUACGGUACACGAGGUUUUAACGUGGUUCGGCCAACCAUGCCUACGUCCACGGAUGAGAGAGAAUAAUUCCACUAUACAAUAGAGAAUAUUACAGAGGAUAAAACCAGAUACAACUAUUGGGUUCCCGAAACAUCCCAUGUUUCCCCACUCCUUGUAUCCAUACCUUACUACGAGUCCUCUCGCUCCACCAGGUACCUCCCGUUCUUCCUCACAUCUCUAUCCAUCUCGUAUAGUCUCUAUAGGCCCAUCUCCAUCUCANNNNNNNNNNNNNNNNNNNNNNNNNNNNNNNNNNNNNNNNNNNNNNNNNNNNNNNNNNNNNNNNNNNNNNNNNNNNNNNNNNNNNNNNNNNNNNNNNNNNUNUCCAGAAAUCUUCANNCAAGCUCUGAUACCAAUUGUAGUGCCAACGAAAGCUUUGAUGCCAACAAUGUUAGUUCAAGAACACAAAGAUAAAACAAUCACACAUACGGUACACGAGGUUUUAACGUGGUUCGGCCAACCAUGCCUACGUCCACGGAUGAGAGAGAAUAAUUCCACUAUACAAUAGAGAAUAUUACAGAGGAUAAAACCAGAUACAACUAUUGGGUUCCCGAAACAUCCCAUGUUUCCCCACUCCUUGUAUCCAUACCUUACUACUAGUCCUCUCGCUCCACCAGGUACCUCCCGUUCUUCCUCACAUCUCUAUUCACCUCGUAUAGUCUCUAUAGGCCCAUCUCCAUCUCAUAACUUUUUCCCCUCAUGACCUAGAAUAUUUAUAGAGAUAUUUCCCACAACCUUCCUUAUUCUAUAAGGAAAUCUAAUAUUACAAUAAUAUAUCAACCUAGAAAUAUUCUAUAUAAUAUUCUUUACAAAAAAGGAAUCUAUACUAAUUAGGAAUUUGGGACACUUCCUAACACCACUGUGUCUUCUGCUCAGUCCAGUUAGAAAGAUUGAGAUCCUACCUUAUGGCUUAUCUGAAAAGCUUGUAGUUUUGGAGGUGGCUCUGCCGGUAGUUCGCAUCAUAAAUUCUGCAAGAUUUACAUCCCUCAUACUGAACCCAGUGCCUUUGGUCCUACAUUUACCAAGCAAAGGACAUAGAGAGUGUGAGUGUUUAGCUAGGUUGGCAAUUCCGGACAAAAUUCCUAAGUGUCCCCUAACUCAGCUUCCCAAUUCCUCUUCGGACUACUUGACUUUGAAGACUAAGAUUUUGCUAAGAGGCCGAGGUAUGUUGCCGAGUGUGUGGUAAUUGAAUGUGAAUCAACCAGGUUUUUAAUCUUUAAAUGGGUUAGAAAGUUGUGAGAAAUGGUUUUUGGUGCAAGACUUUUAUUCCCCUGUUUCUGGAUCGAUCUAGGUGCAGGGGUGGAUCGAUCCAACUAUUUUUUUUAGAUCAAAUCUCAGCCAUUAGAUUAAGGGCUUAUUUUUACACUUUAAAAAACAAUAUUCUCUCAUUUUUCUGUAGAGUGAUUGUAGAAAACGUGGAGAGAGUAGCCACUCCAUGUGUUCUUCAUUUUCUCAUUUGUUUUCCUAAUUUGGGGUUUUUGAUUGCAAAGAAAAUCCAUUUCUCUUAAUGUUUUCCAAACUAGUUUUUAAUGGAUUUUCUUGAGCAAUCAAUCGGUUGAUUCAUUCCUUCAUUCAUAUCUCAAUCUCUCAUUCUAUUUGGGUUUGUGCAAAAGCCCAUUUGCUUCUUGUGUGGAUUCAAGAAGAGGCCGAAUUGAGCUUGGUGCGGACUUUAAGUGUGCUCUGAAAGAAGAAGGUGAGAAGAUGAAAGUGAAGGUACUAGUCAAGUAGUCCGGGAAGGAUUGGUUGGCUUGAGCUAGGUAAAACCUUAUACUUAGUUUUUAUUCUUCAUAGUGGAGUUUUUCAAUCAGUGAUAGACCCGUGGUUUUUUAUCUCUUUGGAGGUUUUCCACAUUAAAAAUCCGGUGUUCAUUGUCUCUUUCUCUCACUCUACACUUUGAAUUAUUUUCUGUUUUUGAUAUCAUUGAUUACUUGGGCAUACAUGUUAAAUGGAAGAAAUAUGAGGUGAUAUAAGUGUGAUGAUCCAUGGAAUAUCCUUAAUAAUUUUUCUGUUCAUUUUGUUUAAUGAUAUCAUGGAGUCAAUUGAUAUGAGUUGAGGAGAUGAUUGUUCUUUUGAUUUAUUUUUGAGGAGUGUUGAAGCAUUUGGAUGUGUUUUGCAUUUAUAAAUUAUUGGAGGAGUGUUGAUGCAUACAUUAUUGCCUGUGAAUGCUAUGCUUUGUUGAAAAGUUGUUGGAAGAGAAGUUUAUUGACAUUGAGAUAGUCUAAGGUUAGGUAAUCUUUGUUGGGAGAAUUAUUAAAUUAUUCUACAACACCUAUUCACCCCCCUCUAGGUGUAGUCCAUUAUUGAGAUUCAUCUUUUCAGAGAGGUUCAACGCCAUACUUAAAGAUCAUAGUCCUGAGUAACCCGGAUUCAUACCUGAUGUUAGUGGAGAAUAUUCUGCGUCAUCUUAUGCAAGGAAGAGGGCAAAGGAUCCUGGGUCCCUCACUUCUUAGUAUAGCGUAUGCAUUACAGAAGGAACUUCUCUGCAUCCAUGCUGGAAAAAAGCAUACGUAGAGUCUGUGCUUCAUGAUCAGACUGGAAAGAAAGACCAUUCUAGAUUUCUAACAGCCUUCACGUCAUCAGUUAUAAUUGAAAAUUCUUACCGUUAGAUAAAAUCGAACCAUUCAUGGGAAUUUUAUUGGAAAUCAUGAUAGAGUUGAAUGCGGGAAAUGAUAUGCCUCACCUUAGGCUAUGUGAAUCAAGCUCUGCUAUGGCAAGUCGAUUAUAUGGUUGGGUUAGGUUUGCUUUAUCCCUUGGGAUAUCAAAGACGAUUUGUGGAUACACAUAAAUAGGUCUUACAAGAUUCCAGAACAUGGCUUAAUUUGAAGCUGAAAUCAUCACCUGAUAGAGUCUAGUAGGCUAUCAUUGACUACCAAGCUAUGUUGUUUUAGGACAUCCAAAGCUCAAGUACCUAGCACUAGCAAUGCAAUCUCGAUUGCACCCUGAGCCCUCACUCUUGCAUGGCUUGCAUGGCCACCCUCCCGUGCAUCAUUUUAAAACCCGUGUGUCUCAUUCCCUGUUCUUCUCCUUGCUUUCAAAAAUCCGAUUCUCAAAAUUCUUGUUUUCAAAUAACUUUUAAUUUCUUAACUUUUUGCACCUCCCUAGAAAUUCUCUUAGGUCAAUAAAAUCCCAUUUUCCAAAUUAAUUUGCCUCCACUUCUCAUCUUGGCAUGCAUUCUUAUUUUUAUUUAUGAAAAAAUAAAAUGGGCCUUGGUAGAGGCUGACAUCCAUGAUAUUUUCUUAAGAUAAUGAUUCAAGUGAUACGAUUUGUUUGAUAUUUGUUGAACUAUGAUUCAUAUUGUGAUACAAAUGAGAUUUUUUUAUUCUUAUUGAUGGACUAACCUUGUGUCCCAUUGAAGCACUCAGUUUGCUACCUACGUACACUUCCUAUCCUUCAAAUUUCAAAAUUCUAUGAGUAUGUGUAUUAGUGAGAACUCUAUUUUUGGCAUGUUCUGUGCUUCAUUUUUUUUUAACUAACUAUGAUGUCUUGUGAUAAGACUUGAGAAGUAGUCCAGGUACACACCCUAACUUUUCUUUAUGAUUGUGAUUUGAUUUUUUGUUUGGCAUGCUAGUUUUGAAAUCACCUUAACCCACUAUGGUAUCCUCAAUCAAUUAAUUAAUUGUCAUACUUCCCUUAACUUAGCUAGUGGAGACCUCUUUAGGGCUUAAAGGGGUGUUAUCUCUUUAAGGUACCUUCCUAAUAGGUAACCUGAUACUCGGACUUAGACUCUGGUUUUUCGAGGACAUAUUUUUCCAAAACUUUGGAGUCACUUUGUUUCAGGGUUUUUUUUCUUAUUUUAUUUUCCCUCUUAAAAUAAAAUAAAAUAGGUAGCGACUCCAAUUUUACUAAAACUAAGUUUUCACCAUUAAAAAGCAAAUCUCAUCGAUGAGUGGGAGCGCACAUGAAAAAUGCAGGUCCGCAUGAUCAUUUAUGAGGCCACACAUGGUCCCUCAACUUGGGAUAAUUUUGUGUUGGUUGGUAGAUAUUCAUGAAGGGCUUUGUAGGGGACAUGUAAGGUGAUAGUUCUAAUCUUAUUACUAACCCAUAACGUAAAGAGACUCUAGACUCCAUGUGUAAAAGUGCGAUAGAGCCAAAGAUUUGUAUUUGUUUUGCGUACACCCUUGAAGGAGCCCUCGCCCUUAGUUGCUUUUUAGCCAUAUUCUUAAUGGGGGUUCAACAUUACAAUAUCACUCCCACUCACUAAUUAUCUCUCUAAAAGAUAAGUCUAUUAAGAAAGUUGAGGGUGUGUCAAAUCCCCAAGUGCAAGGAUUUCAAUUACAAGUUGGUGCAUACUAAGUAUCACUCCAUAUAUGUUCUUACUUAAGAUGGAUUUGGGAAAACUUUUGAGGGAUAUAAAAUAAAUGUUUUGAAAUACAUUUCUUGAAAAUGAAAGAUGGAAUUGUCUAAAAUAGCAUCAAGGAUAAUAAAUCCACUAAGAUCAUAGUUUUCAACUACCAAACCUUCAUAUCAACGUAUUUUUUUAGGCUUACAAUAGAGGAAAACUAUAACUAAACCAUUGAUAGAAACUAUGUGAUCCAAUAUAGGUUUUGCACUAUAAUAUACUAUGUCUAACUCAGACUAAGCAAUUCCUUCAACUCAAACUUGCUCCCAAGGUUGUUUGAAUUACGACCUUUCACAACCAAUGCAACAAACAUUUAAUAUAGUUAGGGCUUGCUUUAAGCUAUUCGUUGUGUUCUCUACUUGGAUGCAUUGAAAGCCAUUUAAUUAUGCUUAAACAUACUCCUAAGGAUGCUUAAAUUUUUUCAAAGCAAAAUGAAAAUAGUUUCAACAUCAAGUGAUCCAAGCUAUAGUUAAACUCUUUAAAAGUUUAACAAACUUCCUCAAACUUAGUUAAAUAGACAUAAGGGUUUUAACCCUUCAUUCCAUAAAAUUGAGGUAAAAGUUAAAUCAUUUAAGGUUAAAUACUAAUAGCUGGAGCAUUUUAUGGAAAUAAAAUACAAGAAAGAACACUAACUUUAGGGGUUUAAAAGCAAUCCCUUGGAGUUCUAACAAGGGGAGCUUCUUGAUUGAAAUUUUCAUUCACAUCUCUAUCAUGGUCUGAUUACUACCCAAAAAGUGCUAUUUUGCACCUUUAAUUCAUUAUGUUUUAAGCACUUUUGUGUAGUAGUUCUCCAUCUUUAUUCCAAUUGGCAUGUUAAGGACCUAGCAAUGACUUCUAAUCAUAUUUGUGGCUAUUUUUAGUGUUUUGAUAGCUUUUUGGAUCAUUAAGACAAGCCAAGUAAAGGAGAGAAGCAAAGAGGAAAAACAAACAGAAUGAAGAAAACAGAGGACAGCAGCUGCAGUCUUCCUUCGUACUUUUGGAGCACUUUUCAAAGUCCAUUUUCUACAUGC
rnacentral:lncRNA from 1 species